rnacentral:rRNA from 1 species
AUGGCGACUUCACUCCCGCUCAGCCUCCUAGCGCCGGUAUACAGCUUUGUCUCCAGCCACCGCCUAAGCCUCGCCGCCUUCCCCUUCUCGGCCACGGCCGCGCUGCGCUUCACCGCCUGGCUCUACCCCACUGUAAGCAGCGCCGUCCAUCACUGCACCCCACUCUAUGCCGGCCUCACUUUGCUCGCCGUCGUACUAGUCCUCUACAUCCGGUCGACCACGGUGCGCGCGGUGUACCUCGUGGACUACGCAUGCUUCCGGCCGCCGGCCGCCCUCCGCGUGCCGCUCUCCAAGUACAUCGAGCACACCGGGCUCGCGCCGUGCUUUGACGACAAGAGCGUCGGCUUCCAGUCGCGCCUCAUCGAGCGCUCGGGCUUCGGUGAGGAGACAUGCCUCCCGCCGGCCUGCCACGUCAUCCCUCCGGAGAAGACCCUCAAGGCGGCCCGCGCCGAGGCCGAGCAAGGGAUAUUCUCCGCCGUCGAUGCCGUUCUCGCCAAGACCGGCGUCCGCGCCGAGGACAUCGGAGUGGUGGUGGUGAACUGCACGCUGUUCGCCCCAACGCCGUCCAUGGCUGACAUGGUAGUGCGCAGGUACGGGUUCCGCAGCGAUGUCCGGUGCUUCAGCCUUUCCGGGAUGGGGUGCAGCGCCGGGAUAGCCGGCAUCGGGCUGGCGGAGAACAUCCUGCAGUGCGACAGCAGGUGCAAGUACGCGCUCGUGGUGUCCACGGAGAUUCUCACCUCGGAUUACUACUCCGGCAACGAGCGCGCGAUGCUGCUGCAGAACUGCCUCUUCCGGAUGGGCGCGUCCGCGGUGCUGCUCUCCACGUCCCCCGCGAGGGCGCGACACGCGCGGUACCGCCUGGCCCGGGUGGUGCGCACGCACGCGGGGCACGACGACCGCGCCUAUGGGUGCGUGCAGCAGGAGGACGACGCGGCGGGCGAGCGCGGCAUCGCGCUGUCCAAGGAUGUCAUGCCCGUGGCCGGCGACACGCUGAAGGCGCACAUGACCACGCUCGGGCCCCUCGUGCUCCCGGCGUCGGAACUCCUUGCGUACGCGCUCUCGCUCGCGAGGCGCAGGCUGCUGCUCAUGGCGGGGCAGAAGGACAGCAGCAAGCCGCGCGUCCCCGACUUCCGCAUGGCGUUCGAGCACUUCUGCAUCCACGCGGGCGGCCGUGCGGUGAUCGACGAGCUGCAGCGCGGCCUCGGGCUGUCGGACAAGCAGGUGGAGCCGUCGCGCAUGGCGCUGCACCGGUUCGGCAACACGUCGAGCAGCUCGACGUGGUACGAGCUGGCCUACCUGGAGGCCAAGUGCCGCGUGCGCAAGGGAGACCGUGUUUGGAUGGUCGGGUUUGGUUCAGGGUUCAAGUGCAACAGCGCAGUGUGGGUGUGCAUCCGGUCGCCGGUUCCUCUGGACAGCGGGCCAUGGGAGGGCUGCAUGCAUCGUUACCCGGUGGCCGCGGAUCAACGAGACUGA